UGGAGUUGAAUGCGGAUGUCCACGGCGCAGUGACAGCGAGAAAGAACUGGAGUCUCGGGUUGUGCUCGUUUUGAGUCAGACGAGCUUCUGCAAAAUUCAGUCACGGAGGACGAACGUUAAAAUCGUUAAACUGGCGUGAAUUAUUUCGCGAGAGGAGAACGUCUUCCUCCUAAAUUUUAAGAGAAGAAUUCUGACUGCAGGAAAAUGGGAAGUACAGUGAUGGACUCCAAGAAAACGGACUGUACAAAGAAAUCCUCGAAGAAAAAGCGACCCCUGCGCCUAAACAUGCCAGAUUUGAGCACAUUCACAUCCUCUCUUAUGGACAGGGAGACUGACGGAGCAAAUAAAGAUGAAAUGCGCAAGGGUGACAGAAGUGACUCGGCAAGCCCAUGUUUGAAGCCUUCUACCAGCCAACCCUGUACCCCAGCUUCAGCUCCCAUUUGUCCCAGGACCAGUCCAGGCACUCCUAAAACCAUCUUCCCAUGUUCACUAUCAUCUCACCAGGCCUCACCUCCCAAAUCUCCCCGCCGUCUCAGCUUCAGUGGUAUCUUCCGCUCCUCGUCCAGCUCAGCCCCUGCCAGCAUCAAGCUCUUCUCCAAAUCUAGAAAAGGCUCUGGGCUUUCCACUCCCCCCACCACCCCGACACAGAGUCCCGUUCCACCAGUCUUCCCUAUGGAGACCCCCAGUCCUGCAGAGCGCGUGGAGGAACGACGCUCCCGCUCUCUCUCAUCUCCCCCUGACACAGGUCAGCACUUCAGCCUGAGCCCCUCCACCAACAAACCCCCUAUCGCCUCGUACACCUUUAACUCUACCUCACGCCAGAGCUGCGUACUUGCUGAAGGCAUGCUGGAAAAACUUGAACUUGAUAACGAAGCUGCUGAAGAGCCAGACAGUGACAUUUACAUGCGCUUUAUGAAAUCCCACAAGUGCUAUGACCUCAUCCCCACCAGUUCCAAACUAGUGGUCUUUGACACUACAUUACAGGUAAAGAAAGCUUUCUUUGCCUUGGUUGCUAAUGGAGUUCGAGCUGCGCCAUUAUGGGAAACCAAAAAGCAAAGCUUUGUGGGAAUGUUAACCAUCACAGACUUCAUCAUCAUCCUGCACAGAUACUACAAAUCGCCGCUGGUGCAAAUAUACGAGCUGGAGGAGCAUAAGAUUGAGACUUGGAGAGAACUUUACUUGCAAGAAACGUUUAAACCCUUAGUCAACAUAUCUCCAGAUGCAAGUAUAUUUGAUGCUGUUUACUCACUCAUCAAAAAUAAGAUCCAUCGUUUGCCAGUGAUCGAUCCAGUCACAGGAAACACCCUCUAUAUCCUCACACACAAGAGAAUUCUCAAGUUUCUGCAGCUCUUUGUGUGUGAGAUGCCUAAACCAGCCUUCAUGAGGCAGACUCUGGAGGAGCUGGGCAUUGGCACAUACAGCAACAUUGCUUUCAUUCACCCAGAUACACCCAUUAUUAAAGCACUGGGCAUGUUUGUGGAGAGGAGAGUGUCUGCCCUGCCAGUGGUGGAUGUUUCAGGAAAGGUUGUAGACAUUUACUCCAAAUUUGAUGUCAUUAACCUGGCAGCUGAGAAGACCUACAAUAACCUGGACAUCACCGUGACUCAGGCUCUGCUGCAUCGCUCACAGUACUUCGAGGGCGUUAUGAAGUGUUAUCGACACGAGACCCUGGAUACUAUAGUGGACAGGAUCGUCAAAGCUGAGGUGCACAGGCUGGUAGUGGUGGAUGAUAACUCCAGCAUCGAGGGCAUCAUCUCUCUUUCUGACAUCCUGCAGGCGCUGGUUCUCACCCCCGCAGGUAUAGACGCACAGAAUUCCUAAAUCAACCCUCCAUUUCACUUUCCUUCUCCCUCUCCACUCUUCUCCGGACCCAAUCUCCUCUCCCUGGACAUCCAGCACUCGAGUGUCCCUCUCUGACCCCCUGAGCACAGGAGGACGCAGAAGGGACAGUGUGACCGAAUGACAAGACAAUAUUUUGGAGGUAAAAGAGAAACACAAGAAAUUCAGAGAACCAAAAAGGUCCCAUCGGCAUUCCUGACGGGAUACGGAGAAGAGGACAGCUGGAAAUUUUUUAGAUCCUCAUUUAAGGGCUGGGAAUUGUGCGAGGCUGAAUGAAACUGUUUGAAUCUGCAGCUGAAGGAACGGACAUGCGAUCAUAACGCACGUGAUGUUGGACAUGUUUAUGGUGGGCCAGCUGUGAGAAUCUGCCGCUAUACUGUACACUGCUUUAGUUUGCCUGCUGGUCUGACAGCACUAAAUCAGGCACAGGGAGGAAGUCUCCUUUUGUGUUCUAGCUGGGUCUGCAUUAUAUCAUCAGGCACUGUAAUCCACUCUUGGGUGAGCGUCUGAACUGGAAAUUUGCCUUAAAUGAAGACCUCAGUGAGAGUUGAUUGUAGAGGUUAGCAGAGAUCCAAAGAUGUGCUUGUAGUGCAAAAGCAGGUUCUUGAUUCUUCAGCAAUAAGUUGCUGUCGGUUCCAAGAACCUGCUAGACUCUGUAGACAUCUGGCCUUUUUUUCUCACUUUCUUGAUACUUCGAAGUCGCAUUUCAUCCCAAAAUGAAAAGAAA